CUUCAUUUCUGAAGGCUCCUGCUAAUUUGCCUUUUAUUAUAGGAGUGUCAGCAAUAACCCUUGUGAUGGAGUUUCACUCUUGUUGCCCAGGCUGGAGUGUAGUGGCGUGAUCUCGGCCCACUGCAACCUCUGCCUCCCAGGUUCAAGUGGUUCUCCUGCCU
rnacentral:lncRNA from 1 species